CCCCUUCUGGUGUUUACACAGCUUGUGCUCUUAACAUUAAUUAUUUAAAAAGAGGAGGCAUAGUAAAUCCAUCCCAUAACCACUUCAACCCACGUCCUUUGCCUGGUUUGUAUUAUUAAUGGUGUACAUGG